rnacentral:miRNA from 1 species
GAUGUACUGAACUGGGUCAGAC